rnacentral:rRNA from 1 species
GUCGAACGAGAAAGCCCGCAAGGGUGAGUAAAGUGGCGUACGGGUGAGUAACACGUGGGUAAUCUACCUUUUGGUGGGGAAUAACGCUGGGAAACCGGCGCUAAUACCGCAUAAGCUCGAAAGAGGAAAGGAGCAAUUCGCCGAAAGAGGAGCCCGCGGCUGAUUAGCUAGUUGGUGAGGUAAAGGCUCACCAAGGCAAUGAUCGGUAGCCGGCCUGAGAGGGCACACGGCCACACUGGCACUGAAACACGGGCCAGACUCCUACGGGAGGCAGCAGUGGGGAAUCUUGCACAAUGGGGGCAACCCUGAUGCAGCGACGCCGCGUGAGUGAUGAAGCCCUUCGGGGUGUAAAGCUCUUUCGGCAGGGACGAUAAUGACGGUACCUGAAGAAGAAGCUGCGGCUAACUACGUGCCAGCAGCCGCGGUAAUACGUAGGCAGCGAGCGUUGUUCGGAGUUACUGGGCGUAAAGAGUGCGUAGGCGGUUUUCUAAGUUUGGUGUGAAAUCUCCUGGCUUAACUGGGAGGGUGCGCCGAAGACUGGAAGGCUUGAGUAUGGGAGAGGUAAGCGGAAUUCCUGGUGUAGCGGUGAAAUGCGUAGAUAUCAGGAGGAACACCUGCGGUGUAGACGGCUUACUGGACCAUAACUGACGCUGAGGCACGAAAGCGUGGGUAGCAAACAGGAUUAGAUACCCUGGUAGUCCACGCCCUANACGAUGCAUACUUUGGUGUGGGUAGUUCAUUCUAUCCGUGCCGGAGCUAACGCGUUAAGUAUGCCGCCUGGGG